rnacentral:rRNA from 1 species
AGCAGCCGCGGUAAUUCCAGCUCCAAUAGCGUAUAUUAAAGUUGUUGCAGUUAAAAAGCUCGUAGUUGAAUUUCGGGAUCAAUUGAUUGGUCAUGCCUUGGUAUGAACUGGUCAUAUUGGUUCUCACCUUCUAAUGAACCAUAAUGUCAUUCACUUGAUGUUAUGGGGAAUAGGACUGUUACCUUGAAAAAAUUAGAGUGUUUAAAGCAGGCUUACGCUUGAAUACAUUAGCAUGGAAUAAUGAAAUAGGACAUCGCAUUCUAUUUUGUUGGUUUCUAGGAUCGAUGUAAUGAUUAAUAGGGAUAGUUGGGGGCAUUAGUAUUCAAUUGUCAGAGGUGAAAUUCUUGGAUUUAU